CCUGGAGAAAGAUCAUUACAUCUGGCACAAUAUGCCCAUGAAUGUUGAAAUCAGCCUUCUCUAACCUGGAAUCCUUCAGGCCUAUUGGAUUACAGCUCCCAUCAUUCCACACCAGUCUGAGCACACUGAAUUGUUGGGACAGUAGUUCAGCAUAUCCAGAAAGCUUCAGAAUGGAGAAGGAUGCGUGGUUGAAACUUCCUCCUGGGCUGAAUAAGGCUGAGCCUGAAACAUGUAGAACAUUGAGAGCGUCACAAUACGAUCCAACGGCCUUCUGCAUCAAGUUAUGUGACACAAUAACAGCCACAUGAGAAAGAGCUGAUAGUUCAGUCCAAGGAGGAGGAAUUGACUAAAACAUUAACACAAAUAAUAGAAGGUGAGAUGCACAGUUGGUUUGCCUCAGCCAAGUAUGAAAUAUUGCAGCAAUACUUCGUGUUACCUGCAGCUCACCCUGAUCUGCUAGAAAAGCUCAACUGCUUUCCUUCAGCCUUGAGAGAGAAGCAAUCAGAGAAACAAAGGUGGUAAGAAAAAGAAUGAGUAGCCUGACCUACUUCAGACUCCAUUCCCUGAUGGAUUCGCCCCUACUCAGAACAUGGAACUCAGCACAGUUCACCUAUCCCAUUACUGCAACCUUGUGUAGCUUGGCAUCUUCUUGAUCUCUUCAACUGCAACUCCCAUGAUUGCUGACCAAAAUCUAUUCUCAAGGAUAAACUCUAUGUUAUUAAAAGAAAAAAAAGUUUACAUUAGCUAUAAUGUUUUUAGAGGAAUGCAGCCCAGUCACAUUGUUUUGAAUUGGACAGCCUUAUAACUCUUAAAAAUAAAUGAGUAAAUAAGUAAGCAAGCAAGCAAACAGGCUGUCCUAAGCUGGUUGAAUUUAUAAUUCAAGAAAACUUCUCUAGAAAAGAGAAAGUCAAAAGAACCAGGUUUUAUGUGGUGCUGAAUUCACACAUCGCUCUAACCAGUGGGUUCUUUUAACCAUGGUUGGUUGAACAGUCCACAGCGGCUAGAGUCACAGAACACACUAUACUAUAAAACUUGAGUUAGCAACCACAGUAUCUGGGUUCACACGGGACAUUAAGCUAUGAGGGGAUUUUCUUGGCUUUGUCUUGGUGACUUCAGUUCAUACGAGAAGUUGUACUGCUCAGAUUUCUUCAUCUUUACCACACUUGAACAAUUUGAUUUUCUUUGCAAUGUGUUGCUUGUGCCUUCUUGUAUCCCACUGUCUCCUUUAUUUCAUACCUGGAGGGAGGGAAGGAAGCUGGGAAGAUGACUUGAGACUGGGCAGAACACAGGGACAUCCUGAAACUGGUGAAGCUAACGCCAGUUUGUUAAAUUAAAUCCAUGUUUAAAAUAUGUCCCAGUUCUGAAGCACUCCUUGCAUUUUGAUUAAUGAGAAGACAACUCUGCAAAUUUGAAGUGUGCUUAGACAUUUCAGUUACUGUGCAGCAAAUGAUGCUAUGUACUAUUUUUGAUUAUGUGGCAAGGGGUUAUGUAACACAAAAUUAUAUGUCCUGUCCCAGAUUGUGGCUAAUAAAAAGACAGAACACCAAGUUCAGUCAGUGGUUCUUCAGCUUAAUGAGGAAUAACUUCAGAAGCGUAGAUUUCUUAUGUGUACAACGCUUCCUAGCAGGGUGUUCUUUCUAUUUCUGUUUUUAAAGUAACUAUGGCCCUAGUAGGGUGAUUGGAUUGGAACAGUUGUGAUAGGCAAGGCUGGGAUGGAUGCUUGAUACCAAGCAUCUGCUACUCCUGUUCUAAUCAGAUACUGUAUUUUUUGGAGUAUAAGAUGCAUUUUUCCCCCCUAAAAGAGGCUGAAAAUAUGGGUGUGUCUUAUACUCCAAAUGUAGCUUUUUCAAAGCUUUUUUUUCAUCCCUAAUGAAGCGCUAGUGAAUGAACAAGCUUUCCCCACUUUGCCUGCUCCCUCCAACUCUCAGCUGUGCUUUAGCUUUUUUUCAGCCUAAGUGAGUGAAGCAAUCUUCCUGCUUUGCCUGCUCCCUCCAACUCUCAGCUGUGCUUUAGAAGCUUUUUUUCAGCCCUAACGAGGCACUAGCUAGUGAAGCGAUCUCUGUGUUUUGCCUGCUUUUCUCAUUGCUGCUCCCGCUCAGCUGUGCUGUAGAAGCUGUUUUUUAUCCCUAAGCAGGGGAUAAAAAGCGCGCAUGUGCGCUCAAAACCAGCAAACUAAUUUGCUGAAGCUGACCCGACUAAGGAUGCUAGCCAGAUGAAUACCUGGAAGGCAGAUUUUUUUUUUCCUGUUUUCCUCCCAAAAAAUUAAGCUGCAUCUUACACUCCAGUGCAUUUUAUACUCCGAAAAAUAUGGUAAUAUGCAGAAUUUUGAUUAGCUUUAUAUAGAACUGUUAUUUUUGUGAGAUGUGCAGCCAUACAGUAUAAAUUUGAUAUAUAAAUAAAACUAAUGGCAAAUUGAAAACUU